UUCAUCGCGGUCAAGACCACCCGGAAGAACCACGGGCCGCGCCUGCGGCUGUUGCUGCGCACCUGGAUCUCCCGGGCCCGCCGGCAGACGUUUAUCUUCACCGACGGGGACGACCCUGAGCUCGAGCUCCAGGGCGGUGGCCGUGUCAUCAACACCAACUGCUCGGCGGUGCGCACCCGUCAGGCCCUCUGCUGCAAGAUGUCCGUGGAGUACGACAAGUUCAUUGAGUCCGGGCGCAAGUACGCGGCGCUGACCCGACCCGCAGAGAGCCCAGAGCCAAGCUGGGUGGGGGCCUCCUGUCCAGCCGUGCCAGGCCCUCGUGCCCAGGACUCCCCUCGCCCACAGGUGGUUCUGCCACGUGGAUGACGACAAUUAUGUGAACCCCAGGAGCCUCCUGCAUCUGCUCUCCAGCUUCUCACCCAGCCAGGACGUCUACCUGGGGCGGCCCAGCCUGGACCACCCCAUCGAGGCCACCGAGAGGGUCCAGGGUGGCAGAACUGUGAGUGUCGGAGCAGACUCCUUCCUUCACACCAGCCCGGGAGGCACAGCAGAGAGCAUGGAAAGCUGUCUUGAGAAGGGCAUAGGGUUGGGAGCCCAAGCUGAUCUACCCAGGUGGUUUGCAUGUGGUGUUUCAGGAGCAGGCCAGGAGGCCCUCACCUUACUGGGCAGAGAGGGGGUGUCUGGGCCAGGUGAGGAGGGUCUGGAGGCCACGGGUCAAUGGCCUGCAGAAACCCCCGGCCCUUCUUGCCCCAGGAAGCUUCUGUUACCUGGGUGGGAUCUCCUAAGGGGCAGCUUAAUAAAGAUGCCUGGGGAAUCCCAUGAAGAGUCAGGGCUGAGAAGCCUUGUCCCGGGCAGCUCUGACUGGCACCCCAUCUUCAGGUGACUACGGUGAAGUUCUGGUUUGCUACUGGUGGGGCCGGUUUCUGCCUCAGCAGAGGCCUUGCUCUCAAGAUGAGCCCAUGGGCCAGGUGAGUGGGGG
rnacentral:sRNA from 1 species